rnacentral:rRNA from 1 species
CAAGUCGAGCGAAUGGAUUGAGAGCUUGCUCUCAAGGAAGUUAGCGGCGGACGGGUGAGUAACACGUGGGUAACCUGCCCAUAAGACUGGGAUAACUCCGGGAAACCGGGGCUAAUASSGGAUAAUAUUUUGAACUGCAUGGUUCGAAAUUGAAAGGCGGCUUCGGCUGUCACUUAUGGAUGGACCCGCGUCGCAUUAGCUAGUUGGUGAGGUAACGGCUCACCAAGGCAACGAUGCGUAGCGACCUGAGAGGGUGAUCGGCCACACUGGGACUGAGACACGGCCCAGACUCCUACGGGAGGCAGCAGUAGGGAAUCUUCCGCAAUGGACGAAAGUCUGACGGAGCAACGCCGCGUGAGUGAUGAAGGCUUUCGGGUCGUAAAACUCUGUUGUUAGGGAAGAACAAGUGCUAGUUGAAUAAGCUGGCACCUUGACGGUACCUAACCAGAAAGCCACGGCUAACUACGUGCCAGCAGCCGCGGUAAUACGUAGGUGGCAAGCGUUAUCCGGAAUUAUUGGGCGUAAAGCGCGCGCAGGUGGUUUCUUAAGUCUGAUGUGAAAGCCCACGGCUCAACCGUGGAGGGUCAUUGGAAACUGGGAGACUUGAGUGCAGAAGAGGAAAGUGGAAUUCCAUGUGUAGSGGUGAAAUGCGUAGAGAUAUGGAGGAACACCAGUGGCGA